AAAUUUAAUUUUAUGUAUUAUAUGAUUGGCGGGUAUUACAUUUUAUUUAUCAAAUUUGCGAGUAUUAAAUUUUGGCGGACAUUACAAAUUUAAAAUUUAAUUUUGAGUAUUACGUGAUUUGUGAGUAUUACGUUUGAGAAAGGGCAUUACGUAGAAAGAAAAUAUUUGAGAAAACGCGUGGAUGCGGAUAUUACGUUAAAUAAGAGAUAAAUUUAAUUUUACGUAUUAUAUGAUUGGCAGGUAUUACAUUAUAUUUGAGAUAAAUUUAAUUUUACGUAUUAUAUGAUUGGUGGGUAGGAAGGAAAUAUUUGAGAAACGCGUAGAUAGGAGAUAACGGAUAUGAAGGGUAUUAUUGUCACAAAAAGUGACAGAUACUUUUAUUUUCAAUCGUUAGAUAAGAUCUAAUGGCAAAAAUUAAUAUCUUUAUUUGCGAAUAAAUUAUUAUUUAGUGAAUUAUUUGAAAUAAUUGGUUGAAAAUUACUGGACAUGAAAAUAUUAAUAAAAAGAAUAGAGGUAUUUUUGGAAAGAGGAAAAUAUUUAAAA
rnacentral:lncRNA from 1 species